GAUGAACGCUAGCGGCAGGCUUAAUACAUGUAAGUCGUACGGGAUCCGAGGUAGCAUUAUCUUGGUGAGAGUGGCGCACGGGUGCGUAACACGUAUGCAACCUACCUUUAACCGGGACACAACCUCGAGAAAUUGAGGCUAAUAUCCCAUAACACUGCGUUGAGGCAUCUCAGUGCAGUUAAAACUCCGGUGGUUAUUGAUGGGCAUGCGCGACAUUAGCUAGUUGGUGAGGUAACGGCCCACCAAGGCUACGAUGUCUAGGGGUUCUGAGAGGAUUAUCCCCCACACUGGUACUGAGACACGGACCAGACUCCUACGGGUGG
rnacentral:rRNA from 1 species